rnacentral:rRNA from 1 species
GAACGCUAGCUACAGGCUUAACACAUGCAAGUCGAGGGGCAGCAUGAACUUAGCUUGCUUUUCUAGGCGUCGACCGGCGCACGGGUGAGUAACGCGUAUCCAACCUGCCCAUCACUUGGGGAUAACCUUGCGAAAGUAAGACUAAUACCCAAUGAUAUCUCUAGAAGACAUCUGAAAGAGAUUAAAGAUUUAUCGGUGAUGGAUGGGGAUGCGUCUGAUUAGCUUGUUGGCGGGGUAACGGCCCACCAAGGCGACGAUCAGUAGGGGUUCUGAGAGGAAGGUCCCCCACAUUGGAACUGAGACACGGUCCAAACUCCUACGGGAGGCAGCAGUGAGGAAUAUUGGUCAAUGGGCGCAGGCCUGAACCAGCCAAGUAGCGUGAAGGAUGACUGCCCUAUGGGUUGUAAACUUCUUUUAUAUGGGAAUAAAGUUUUCCACGUGUGGAAUUUUGUAUGUACCAUAUGAAUAAGGAUCGGCUAACUCCGUG